AGUAAGAUCAGCUAAUUAAGCUCUUGGACUCAUACUCCAAAAAUGAAGGAAACACCUUCUCCUACU
rnacentral:tRNA from 1 species